rnacentral:tRNA from 1 species
GGCCGACUAGCUCAGUUGGUUAGAGCGUCGUGCUAAUAAUUUGCGGGAGAGUCGUGAGAUUACGCGAAGGUCUUGGGUUCGAUCCCCACGUUGGCCA